UCCAUGGACAAGAAGCCAAAAAUACUUGGUUGAAGCUUUCCUGUCUCUCCUUGGGGACCCGCUGUAGAGUUCAGGUCCCUCCCUGAAUCAUGUCACCAGUCUUGUGGAGAUAGUGCAUCAGUUACAUGAAACUGUCAUCCCCACAAGGUACCCAGGGUGAAACACCACAUUUUGUCACCAGUAAGUACGGCCAUUGGUACUGAAAAAGCGAGAUGGGGAUUGGGAGCAGUGACUUGGGAGAGCCGGACUGGAACACCUGCAUAUGAAAGAUGUUAGAAUUCUCCCCACUGGACUAGUAAGGUUGAGGCAAACCUUAUAAAAUAGCGCCAGAAAACUGGGAUAGAAACCAGAUUCCACUACUGCCCCAUGAAAUGUGUUUUAAUGUUCUGAAUGUCCUUCUCAUUUUUCUUCUCCUCUAUAAAAUCCAUUCCCUCCGAAGGUUAACAAACAUAUAUACUGUCUCUGUGGAGAUUACAUAAACGUCCUCUGUGGAUGCACAUAGAACUAAUGUAGCAGCCUCUAAAGUUAACUGUAUACUUUAUAGUGGUAGAUUUAUACCUCUCCAAGAAUUGCUAUGAACUUCUUUCUGUGGUAUUAUAAAAGGAAUAAUUUGCUCGAAAUUUCUUGAUGCACCUGUCCAUUUAAAUAAUCAUCCUAUUUUAGGCUCACAUGUGAGUUUUGGAUUUUUGAAGUGAAGUCUUUUAAAAUGUACAAAACCUAACAUUUCUGCUGUGUUUCUGAAAGAUUAAAGAAAAAUUCCAUUAAGAAAGACUAGGAGAAUUCAACUGUGUCUUCUCAUGUGUUGCUAGCAUUUUCCAUCCCAGAUAGAAAAUAUGCCAAGGUGCAUUGUGUAUUAAUCAAUCAAAAUGCAAAAGUAACAGCACAAUUCACCAUCACAACCUCACAACCAAGAAUAUUCCUCAAGGGAGCUUUCAUUGAAUUGCCUGGGUUUUGACACAGAGUAACCCAGCUGUCCAGCUAUUGAUUUGGGCAUAAUUAUCUUCUGCUUAGUAAUUAUUUACAUAUGCAUUGGAAUUGUGUCACUGUGCUUUUCAGUGGGAUUAAGAGAAAUAGUGACAGCAUAAUACUAUUUGAGGGCAAACUCUAUGGUUUCUAAAGAUACGAAUCCAUUGUUAGGCCUUUUAGUGGACAGAAUUUUUCAUUGGACAUAGUCCCACCCAGAGAAACCAGGAAAAGGGCUUCUGGGCAUUUGAGUCUGGAUUUUAUUUUUUGCAGUCCAUGGUUGUGCAUCCUGUCCUUUAGACACCUGAUCUGGGAACCUCCAUAUACCACAGGUGCAGCCCUUAAAAAAAAAAAUAUUUUGCACUCUAUGAAAUUUGUAUUAUUUGGUAAUGAUUGUGGCUUGGUCCAAUGAUGCUUACCUUUUGAAAUGAUGAUUACUCUUUAUGCAAGAAAAGUAGAAAACAGUAUUUAAACUGAUUGAUCCUAAACAUACAGGCUAAAGUCAGGGUUUCCAAUGUGAGUAACUCAUUGGGAUGGUACUAAAAGAUGCCUUCUUCUAACUCUCCCUACUCCUGUGGAUAACUCUGUGGGUAGGACUGACAUUUAGAGGUCUACAGUACCCACCAUUGAUGUUAAGGUAUGUGAUCAAUUAAUUUUUAAUUUUGGCCAAAUUAAUUUCUGUCAUAACAUGGACUAACAUUUUAUACUUAAUUCAAAGCUAACUUCAUUCAGAAAGUUGUGGCUGGUGUUGUGUCAUUUGAGGAACAGAAGUUUACUCUAAAGCGGUAUUUUCACAUACCCAUGAUGCUCAGAAUGGUCAUUUUCUAGUGUUUAUAUAAUGGUAAGGGUAUUGCAGAUUUGUUUCUAACUUGCUUUUAAAUGACUGAGAUACUUAGCAAGGUGUCUUUUUAACUAACUUUGAUGUUUUAAUAUAGAAUCAGAUUUUCACAAGAGUUGAUAUUAGACCUCAAUUCCAGGAUGUAAAUAAUUUGCAUUUUCUGUGAGUAUGCCAUUUUGUUUAGAAUCAUGUUUACAAAAUUUGUACUAGUCACACACUGCUGAAGCAAUGAGCAAAACAUGGAAAACAUGUAAUGCGCUUAAAAAAACAAAUUGAGAGGAUACUGAACUGUGUCUGGAGGCUCCUGAAACCCUUCCCACAGUUGCUCAUGAAUAAGAGGAAAAGAGAUGAAGAUUUCCUUCAGACCAGCCUAAUCUAAAUAUGAAACUCCCUCCACUUCCUUCUGGUCCCAUUUAUCUCUCUGCUCUUGUUCAGUGGAAUUCCUUUCAUUAUCUAGUUAAUGUAGACAUGUAUUCAGUCUUCACCAUUCAUCUUUUGAACUUGUUUGCAUCAGUGUUGUCCAUCAUUGAUUAAAAGAUCCUAGACUGCAGGGUCAAGUUCUCUUAUACUCUCUUUCUAAAGUGCUUAUUACCAUCCCAUGCUAAGUAGAUAAUGAAUGCAAGUGGUCAAGGUGCUUUUAUUUACAUUUCCCAUAACUUCUGGUGGGAAAAUGUUUUCCUAUAUUUCCUUGCCAGCUGAUGCACCUUUAUAACUAUGGUGAGGCUUGGGAUGGAGGGGGAUGGGAUAUGGUAUAGGGUAGGGUUGGGACUGGAGAGCAAUUUAAGGUGGUGGAGAGGAGCUUGUGCCCUGGAAUCAGACAGACCCAGGGGAAUAUUCACUUCACAACUUAAACUCUCUUUCUGGUCUUCGAUCAUCCAAGCCCACAUCUCUUCAUUUGUGAAACAGGAGUAUAAUACCUAUGUUCUAGGCUGAUUUGUGUUCCCUACAAAAUUCAUAUGUUGCAGUCCUAACCCUGGAGCUAGGAACUUGACUAGAUUUGGAGACGGGGUGUUUAACUGUGGCGCUGGAGUUAAAACAAGGCACUAGAAUGAACCCUAAACUAGUAUGAAUGAUGACCUUAUAAGAAGAGGAAAUUUAGACACAGUCAUGGCUGUUGUGAAGACACAGGGAGGAGAUGCCCAUCUACAAACCAAAGAGAGAGCCUUCCCUUACAGCCCUCUGUGGGAACCAACCUUGACCUCAGAAGUCAAGGCUCCAGAACUGCAAGGCAAUUAAUGCUGGGCAAUGCCAAUGCGAACAAGUUCAAAAGGAACAUGAUGAGACAAUUUCUGUGGUUUAGGCCAUCUGGUCUGUAAUAUUUUGUAAUUGCAGCCCUAUCAAACUAAUAUAACCUACUUCAUGGUAUCAUUUUAAUUAGAUAGGAUCCUGUUUAUAAAGUACUUACCAGGGUGAAUGAUGUAUAAUAGACGCUCAAUAGGUAGUAGUUUAAUAAAAUGGUCAGAGGUGAGAAAAGAGAACAAAAGUGGAAACACUUAGAAAUUGCAUUCUUAAGGCCUACAUGAGCAUGGAGGUUGAUUUGGAAGACAAUACAAAGGAGUUUCUUUUUGUUUAAAUUAGGCCCCAUGCGAACUUGUGAGCAUUUAUGGAUCGACAGUAUUCAAUUGUGUUUUUCUUUGCAGUUGUCCCUUUGGGAUGAUUAAUGAGCCCCAAGUACUAACAGAUGAGCCUCACAGGAGGAUUUAUGAUCUUGAACCAUAGAUUCAGAUGGUGUCUGCAUGUUGAAUGCUUGGUAAAAAUAUGGAAGUAGUGGUGUCCCAAUCUAACUGGUUUCAUUGGAUUGGUUUCACACUUCAUUGCCUUCUGGCAAAGAAUAUUGUGAGCCCAAAUAAUUUUUUAAAUGGCCAGCAUUAAAAUGAGGCCUCCUGCUAUUCACUGAAGCUCUUCUCUAAGUAACCAGAAGUUACUGCAUUUAUGUGGAUUGAAAGCAUAUUUUAAGCAUCACUUAAAUAUUUUAAAUAUCAGUUCUACAUACCAAACAUCAGUCCUGCAAACCUUUCCCCUGUUAACAUUAGUAAGAGUUCUUUUAUUUAUUUGCAAGAUGAAAAAACAUUAGAUUCUUUUUUCUUCGUUUGUACCUCCAAAGAGUAAUUUCCUUUCAAUGUGAAGUUUAUUGAAAUUGUUUAAGUUAGAGUAAUUGCUUCUAAAAUGCCUGAGUUUCUCAUAAGAAUGUCAGGGUCGGCACAUUUCUUAAGAUAUUAGAUUUCUUUAACUACCUUGCCCUUCAACUGUGUUGAUGCGGAUGUUUUAUUAAACACUAAUGGGUCUCCUCAAGUCAUAGCAGCAGAAGUUUAGGGAAGGUCAUUUCGGUGGGGAGGUUAUAUUCAUGAGACAGUCUCCCCCUCCACACACACACCUGUAGUCUUAACCCUUAGCAAAUAGAUUCUCUAAAAGACUAGUCGGAUUUUUUUGUUUUGUUCUGCUUGGUUUUGUUUUAAGGUAAUUUUGUCAAAAAGGCUCUCCUGGCCCAGAAAGGAGACAUUGGCUAGCCCUGAGGAAAGUGACAGACUCCACAGCUGGACUAGAACUCUAGCUUACAUACCAUGAGUCACAAAGGAAGUAUAUAAGUGAUAAUAGCAAGGACUCAGGCUUACCAACUGUUGAUAUCCAGCAAAGUGGGGAGAGUGGUGAGCCUUUCUGACCGGGUAUACACUUCACAGAAGUUUCCAGGGCUGCUCUCAGUUCCAAGAAGGGGUAGUAAAAACUCUGCCUACUCUGUUUCCAGCGGCCACCCUCUUUCCCUGAAGUAUUUCAGAGGCCUUGUAUCUGGCCUCACUCUCUUGACUAACUCCUACCCUCUCCUUCUCU
rnacentral:lncRNA from 1 species